rnacentral:rRNA from 1 species
UACGUAGGGUGCAAGCGUUGUCCGGAAUUAUUGGGGCGUAAAGAGCUCGUAGGCGGUCUGUCGCGUCGGCUGUGAAAUCCCGAGGCUCAACCUCGGGUCUGCAGUCGAUACGGGCAGACUAGAGUGUGGUAGGGGAGAUCGGAAUUCCUGGUGUAGCGGUGGAAUGCGCAGAUAGUCAGGAGGAACACCGGUGGCGAAAGGCGG